UCUCCUCUUAACGAACUCAAAAAUGUUACGUUUCCUGAUCUGACCAUUUGGUGGAGAAUGGAGAUGAGAGGAAAAGUAGUUGCAGCUCCCUCGUGCUCAACCAUUAGCCUUGGAGAAGCUUUGUUGCUAUCUAUCCUCCUCCAUCAACUGUUUGUUUGAAUAGAGAGUAUCUUCAUUAUUCUACCAACAAACUUUGCUAUAUAAUAAGAACCCCCUCCUCUGUUCAUGUAUUCACACAAGACUGCUGAAUUAGAGGUUUCUUCCACAUCUUGACCACACCUGUUGAAUACCUAUCAUGGGACCUGGAGGACCCGGAGGGCCUGGACCUGGAUGGGGACCAGGAGGACCUGGCGGACCAGGAGGGCCUGGACCAGGGAUAUUUCCACCAAUUGGUGGUUUCUUUGCUGGAUUUUCAGACAUGAUAUGUUCCUGUCUGUCUUGUCUCUGCUGCUGCUGGCUUCUACGAGAUUGCUUUGGAGGGCCACCAGCACCUCCACUUCUUCCUCCCUAUUAUUGAUCGCCUCGCCCUGAGUCUUAUCACAAGAAAAUAAUAAAGACUUCUCUCCUGUAAACGAUAUUUGUUACUCAUGUUUCUAUAAAGAACUUCCGAUGGAAAAUCUUAUAUAUA